AUGCAGGUAGGCCUGACCUAUUAAUUUGAAAAGGAACUCCAAAAUGCUACCAGCAGGAAAACUGACUCUGAGACAUGAUCUAUAAAACCCAAUUAACCACAGUAAGUUCUACGCUUUCCUUCUGUAACAUCAAAACAUGAAAGUUUAUACCUUGUUAUUUAAAAACACAACAUUAAAAUCACAUAUACACACAAAAAGAAUUCUGGGAAAAGUCAAGAUUUUAACCGCAACAUUUACUCUUCGCUGUGACAUGUCCUGUAUACUUAAGAUGUGAAGAAAACACGUAUUUCUUUUUUUUUUUUUUAAGCCACAUAAACAAGAAUAGAAGUUCCACCUGAAGAAAUUUUUGUAGAAGAGCAAACUUGACCAUUCUCCAAAUUCUGAAAAAGUUAGAUUUCUCAUCCUUAAUGCUGCUGUUCCUUUCUGCAUUCCUUUCUUUAUAAAGGGUGCUGCCAGAAGGCAGUGAUAGGGUUACUUGCUUUGAACAUUGUGUGUUAUGCAGUCAGAUAUUACCUACCCAUCCCAGCAUGAAUUAUGACACCAAGUUCGUAUCCUAGCAUGAAUUAUGUCGCUAAGUUUCUGACCUAAACAUGUGUUGUUGCUAAGCAGUACCCGGUCACAAGAUCUCCUGUAAUCUGCUCCAGUAGAACAGCAAGUGGUGAUGUGCUGUGGUCAGUCUGGUAACAUGAUACUUCUGCUCCCACGCUGGACAAUAAAACUCAUAUUUACCAUUAUGGAUGGCAAGUUCAGAAGUCCACCCAAUAUUGAUGGCACGCACACGGGCCCUUCAUUAUACAUGACAGCUUUUCAUGCUGUAAAGAAUAUUACUUUUGAAGGAGGAGCAGAGAAGAAAAACUGAUCUUCCUUCUUGCAAGAGAGGCUUGAAAAGGUAGCAUGUCAAGUCCUGCCCUUGAAGAUACAGUCUACGUGCAGUUCAAGUCAAUGCAAACAGCAGGCGAUCCCUCUCUUCCUAGCACACAUUUCAAAAAAUUUGGUUUAUCCUGCGUAACACAUACAGAGGAUCAGCUUCUUUCACACUUUACAGACCUUCAGCAGACCUUCUAUUUCUCUAAAAUGAACAAACUACUGUUGCAAUACCUGAAUCAAAUGGUAAUACCUAGUCUCAGCCUGCACACUGACAGCAUUUAUGUUCAUUUCUGUGGGAUGUAGCGUGGCAAGAGCUGUGGAUUUGAUAAACACUGUCAGAACCCGUUAUGGAACUGCUCCUCUUGAUCUAAAAUGUGAAAACCAAGCAUCAGUCACCAUAAAAUAGAUGUGAUAUAGCAUAGAGCAGAAUAAUGGUUCUAGCACAUAUGGUAUUGUGAGAAAUGAUUUUCUGUGACAGCAAAGUAUGACAAUGAACAGAAGACAAAUGAAUUUCCUGAACUGCUUCAGUAAAGGUUGCCUGUCCUGUAAAGACUUAUAUAGAACAAACUGACAAGAUCACCUGGAAUUACCUAAU